CCAGACUCCUACGGGAGGCAGCAGUGGGGAAUAUUGGGCAAUGGGCGCAAGCCUGACCCAGCAACGCCGCGUGAAGGAAGAAGGCUUUCGGGUUGUAAACUUCUUUUCUCAGGGACGAAGAAAGUGACGGUACCUGAGGAAUAAGCCACGGCUAACUACGUGCCAGCAGCCGCGGUAAUACGUAGGUGGCAAGCGUUAUCCGGAUUUAUUGGGUUUAAAGGGUGCGCAGGCGGGAGAUCAAGUCAGCGGUAAAAUGUCGGGGCUCAACCCCGGCCGGCCGUUGAAACUGGUUUUCUAGAGUUGGAGAGAAGUAUGCGGAAUUCGUGGUGUAGCGGUGAAAUGCGUAGAUAUCAGGAGGAACACCGGCGGCGAAGGCGGCCUGCUGGACCGUGACUGACGUUGAGGCUCGAGAGCGUGGGGAGCAAACAGGAUUAGAUACCCCCGUA
rnacentral:rRNA from 1 species